GUCUAUGGCCAUACUCUCCUGACAUGCCUGAUCUCAUCUGCUCUCUUGGAAGAGCAGUACUGGGCCUGGUUAGUAUUUGAAUGGGAGACCUCCUGGGAAUACCUGGUGCUGAAGACU
rnacentral:rRNA from 1 species